GACGAACGCUGGCGGCGUGCUUAACACAUGCAAGUCGAACGGAAAGGCCCUGCUUUUGUGGGGUGCUCGAGUGGCGAACGGGUGAGUAACACGUGAGUAACCUGCCCUUGACUUUGGGAUAACUUCAGGAAACUGGGGCUAAUACCGGAUAGGAGCUCCUGCUGCAUGGUGGGGGUUGGAAAGUUUCGGCGGUUGGGGAUGGACUCGCGGCUUAUCAGCUUGUUGGUGGGGUAGUGGCUUACCAAGGCUUUGACGGGUAGCCGGCCUGAGAGGGUGACCGGCCACACUGGGACUGAGAUACGGCCCAGACUCCUACGGGAGGCAGCAGUGGGGAGUAUUGCACAAUGGGCGGAAGCCUGGUGCAGCAACGCCGCGUGCGGGAUGACGGCCUUCGGGUUGUAAACCGCUUUCGCCUGUGACGAAGCGUGAGUGACGGUAAUGGGUAAAGAAGCACCGGCUAACUACGUG
rnacentral:rRNA from 1 species